rnacentral:tRNA from 1 species
CGCAGGGUAGAGCAGUUUGGUAGCUCGUCGGGCUCAUAACCCGGAGGUC